rnacentral:rRNA from 1 species
UACGUAGGGGGCAAGCGUUGUCCGGAUUUAUUGGGCGUAAAGAGCGUGUAGGCGGCCGUACAGGUCAGCUGUGAAAACUCGAGGCUCAACCUCGAGACGCCGAUGGAAACCCUCGAACUAGAGUCCGGAAGAGGAGAGUGGAAUUCCUGGUGUAGCGGUGAAAUGCGCAGAUAUCAGGAAGAACACCCGUGGCUAAGGCGGCUCUCUAGUACGGUACUGACGCUGAGACGCGAAAGCGUGGGGAGCGAACAGG